GAGCAGGUCCCAAGGGUUCGGCUGUUCGCCGAUUAAAGCGGCACGCGAGCUGGGUUCAGAACGUCGUGAGACAGUUUGGUCUCUAUCCUCUGCGCUCGUCGGAAUGUUGAGGAGGCCUGCCCAUAGUACGAGAGGACCUGGGUGGACGAACCUCUGGUAUGCCGGUUGUCACGCCAGUGGCACGGCCGGUUGGCUACGUUCGGAAGGGAUAACCGCUGAAAGCAUCUAAGCGGGAAGCCUGCUCCAAGAUAAGCAUUCCAUAGGACUACGGGUCCUUGAAGUCCCCAUGCAGAACACGUGGUUGAUAGGCCGGACGUGGAAGCCCCGCGAGGGGUGGAGCCGACCGGUACUAACGGACGAAAGGCAACACAAC
rnacentral:rRNA from 1 species